GCAGAUGACCUGGUUUUGACCCUGCAGAAGCCAGAGCCCAGUACGAAAAGAGUAUUACAACUGAUUAAUGACUUUGGUCGGGUGGCUGGAUUUAAAUUAAAUAAACAGAAAACCAAGGUUUUGGGGAAAAAUUUGACAGAUACAGAGUCAGAACGGUUUCAGAAUGAGACGGAACUUAAUGUGGUUAAAAAAGUAAAAUACCUAGGGGUAAAUAUAACAGCAAAAAAUCUAAGUCUAUUUAAGGACAACUAUGAAAAAUGCUGGACAGAAAUUAAGAGAGACUUAGAUAGUUGGUCAAAAUUGAAACUUUCUUUGUUAGGCCGAAUUGCUGCUAUUAAGAUGAAUGUAUUGCCAAGGAUGUUGUUUUUAUUUCAAACACUUCAGGUUUUGGACAAAACGGAGUGCUUUCAGAAGUGGCAGAGAGAUAUUUCUAAGUUUGUCUGGCAGGGCAAAAAGCCCAGAAUUAAGUUUAAGAUAUUAACUGAUGCAAAACAAAGAGGGGGCUUUGCCCUGCCAGACUUAAAGUUGUAUUAUGAAGCCGCAGCGUUCUGCUGGCUAAAAGAUUGGCUACUCCUUGAAGACACUGAUGUGUUGGACCUGGAAGGGUUUAAUAAUGUUUUUGGAUGGCAUGCAUAUUUAUGGUAUGACAAGGUUAAAGCAAAUAAGGCCUUUAAGAACCAUAUUGUCAGAAAAUCACUGUUUAAUGUCUGGACAAAAUAUAAAGACUUGCUGGAAAAUAAAACUCCCAGGUGGCUUUCACCACUAGAAGCUAAGGCCCGAAAAAGACCCAAUAUGGAGGCUAAAUGGCCAAAAUACUGGGAAAUACU